rfam:Brassica napus, WGS project CCCW01000000 data, contig: 10899
AAGCCAUGAUGUGGGCAUUGAGACCAAUAGCCCUUGAACCUCUCCCAAGCUUCACUAAAGCCCUCUAGGUUCUUCUGCUGAAAGCUAGAGAUUUCAUUCCUGAUCUU